rnacentral:misc_RNA from 1 species
CCACUUUUACAAACCCCAAGGGCGUUGGCCUCGGCCUCCGCCCGCCCCACACACCGCGCACUUGAUAUGUUUAGUAGUGGGGAGGAGCACUUCUCCCCACCACUCACACAAACCCAGUUCCCAGUCUCCCUCUCACCUUUUCGGCUGAGAAGGAGGAAGACGAACCCCAAGCGACCACUUCUCCAAUACAGAGACCAAACACAAACA